rnacentral:lncRNA from 1 species
AUGUUAAAUCAGCUCCUGGGAUGUAGUAUGUUAAGUCAUCUCCUGGGAUGUAGUAUGUUGAGUCAGCUCCUGGGAUUUGGUAUGUUAAGUCAGCUCCUGGGAUGUAGUAUGUUUUGUCAGCUCCUGGGAUUUGGUAUGUUAAGUCAGCUCCUGGGAUGUGGUAUGUUAAGUCAGCUCCUGGGAUGUAGUAUGUUAAGUCAUCUCCUGGGAUGUAGUAUGUUAAGUCAGCUCCUGGGAUCUGGUAUGUUAAGUCAGCUCCUGCAAUUUGGUAUGUUAAGUCAUCUCCUGGGAUGUAGUAUGUUAAGUCAGCUCCUGGGAUCUGGUAUGUUAAGUCAGCUCCUGGGAUGUGGUAUGUUAAGUCAGCUCCUGGGAUCUGGUAUGUUAAGUCAGCUGCUGGGAUGUAGUUUGUUAAGUCAGCUCCUUGGAUCUGUUAUGUUAAGUCAGCUCCUGCAAUUUGGUAUGUUAAGUCAUCUCCUGGGAUGUAGUAUGUUAAGUCAGCUCCUGGGAUCUGGUAUGUUAAGUCAGCUCCUGGGAUGUAGUAUGUUAAGUCAGCUCCUGGGAUCUGGUAUGUUAAGUCAGCUCCUGCAAUUUGGUAUGUUAAGUCAUCUCCUGGGAUGUAGUAUGUUAAGUCAGCUCCUGGGAUCUGGUAUGUUAAGUCAGCUCCUGGGAUGUGGUAUGUUAAGUCAGCUCCUGGGAUCUGAUAUGUUAAGUCAGCUGCUGGGAUGUAGUUUGUUAAGUCAGGUCCUGGGAUCUGUUAUGUUAAGUCAGCUCCUGCAAUUUGGUAUGUUAAGUCAUCUCCUGGGAUGUAGUAUGUUAAGUCAGCUCCUGGGAUCUGGUAUGUUAAGUCAGCUCCUGGGAUGUAGUAUGUUAAGUCAGCUCCUGGGAUCUGGUAUGUUAAGUCAGCUCCUGCAAUUUGGUAUGUUAAGUCAGCUCCUGGGUUGUGGUAUGUUAAAUAAUCUCCUGGGAUGUAGUAUGUUAAGUAAUCUCCUGGGAUUUUAUAUGUUAAGUCAGCUCCUGGGAUCUGGUAUGUUAAGUCAGCUCCUGGGAUGUGGUAUGUUAAGUCAGCUCCUGGGAUGUGGUAUGUUAAGUCAUCUCCUGGGAUGA